rnacentral:rRNA from 1 species
UGGGGAAUAUUGCACAAUGGGGGAAACCCUGAUGCAGCCAUGCCGCGUGUGUGAAGAAGGCCUUCGGGUUGUAAAGCACUUUCAGUAGGGAGGAAGGUAGUGUAGUUAACACCUGCAUUAUUUGACGUUACCUACAGAAGAAGCACCGGCUAACUCCGUGCCAGCAGCCGCGGUAAUACGGAGGGUGCGAGCGUUAAUCGGAAUUACUGGGCGUAAAGCGCAUGCAGGCGGCCUGUUAAGUCAGAUGUGAAAGCCCCGGGCUUAACCUCGGAAUUGCAUUUGAAACUGGCAGGCUAGAGUCUUGUAGAGGGGGUAGAAUUUCAGGUGUAGCGGUGAAAUGCGUAGAGAUCUGAAGGAAUACCAGUGGCGAAGGCGGCCCCUGGACAAAGACUGACGCUCAGAUGCGAAAGCGUGGGGAGCAAACAGGAUUAGAUACCCUGGUAA